rnacentral:rRNA from 1 species
CGGACGGGUGAGUAACGCGUAGGAAUCUAUCUUUGGGUGGGGGACGAACCGUGGGAAACUACGGCUAAUACCGCAUGAGGCCUGAGGGCCAAAGCUUGUGAGAGCGCCUGAGGAGGAGCCUGCGUCCGAUUAGCUAGUUGGUGGGGUAAAGGCCUACCAAGGCUGCGAUCGGUAGCUGGUCUGAGAGGAUGAUCAGCCACACUGGGACUGAGACACGGCCCAG